rnacentral:lncRNA from 1 species
CCUACUAAGCGCAAUUAUUGAUUGAUCGACUUGAAUUUCUAGUUCAGCUAAGGAUUGCAUAAAGGAGUGGAGGAUAUGAUCUCCAGCUUAGGAGCUUGUUGGUGCAGAAUUUCAUGAGCUCGACCACCCAUUUCGCUAUCCUUCCGAAAGCGUUCGCUCGAUGCAGAACUGCCUUAAUCGGCUGGUCGGUGAGCAGUGUUAUAGUGUGCCCUUGAAAGUAAGGUCGGAGCCUUCGGACUGCAAUCAACAGGGUGUAAGUUAGUUUCUCUAACUUACAGAAGUUCUUCGGC